rnacentral:rRNA from 1 species
UACAGAGGUCUCAAGCGUUUGUUCGGAAUCACUGGGGCGUAAAAGGGUGUGUAGGCUGUGCGUUAAGUCAGAUGUGAAAGCCCAGGGCUCAACCUUGGAACUGCAUCCGAUACUGGCGUGCUAGAGAUUGGAGAGAGUCUAGAAUUCAACGGUGUAGCAGUGAAAUGCGUAGAUAUCGAUGAGGAAUACCAAGUGCGAAAGGCAGGACUCUUGGACAUUUUCUGACCGCUGGAGAACAGGAAAGGCUAGGGGAGCAAAACGGG